rnacentral:misc_RNA from 1 species
GAUGAAGAACGUAGUGAAAUGCGAUAAAUAAUGUGAAUUGCAGAAUUCAGUGAAUCAUCGAGUCUUUGAACGCACAUUGCGCCCCCUGGUAUUCCGGGGGGCAUGCCUGUCCGAGCGUCAUUGCUGCCCUCAAGCACGGCUUGUGUGUUGGGCCCCCGUCCCCCCCUCCCGGGGGACGGGCCCGAAAGGCAGCGGCGGCACCGCGUCCGGUCCUCGAGCGUAUGGGGCUUUGUCACCCGCUCUGUAGGCCCGGCCGGCGCCUGCCGACCACCAUCAAUCUUUUUUCAGGUUGACCUCGGAUCAGGUAGGGAUACCCGCUGAACUUAAGCAUAUCAAUAAGGCGGAGGA